GACGAACGCUGGCGGCAGGCCUAACACAUGCAAGUCGAGCGGACCUUUCGGGGUCAGCGGCGGACGGGGGGGUAACGCGUGGGAAUAUGCCCUUCUCUACGGAAUAGUCCUGGGAAACUGGGGGUAAUACCGUAUACGCCCUUUGGGGGAAAGAUUUAUCGGGGAAGGAUUAGCCCGCGUUGGAUUAGGUAGUUGGUGGGGUAAUGGCAUACCAAGCCGACGAUCCAUAGCUGGUUUGAGAGGAUGAUCAGCCACACUGGGACUGAGACACGGCCCAGAAUCCGACGGGAGGCAGCAGUAGGGAAUCUUAGACAAGGAGGGCAAACGUAGUCUAGCCAUGCCGGGUGAGUGAUGAAGGCCUUAGGGUUGUAAAGCUCUUUCAGCUGGGAAGAUAAUGACGGUACCAGCAGAAGAAGCCCCGGCUAACUACGUG
rnacentral:rRNA from 1 species